ACUGGAUGCCCACAGAGCCACAAUACAGUCCUGUUUUGCUCACUAGGAAGAAGGUCUGAGGCUAAGUUCUUUCAAGAAUGAUACUGAUCAACACUUCACCGGGGUCCCUCAGAAUGAGGUCUUAUAUCACAGCUUCAGUAGGAGCCCAUCUAUGAAUGCAGAUGUUACGAGGAGAUGAGAUUGUGCCAUGAAUGGUUGGUCCAAGGGAGUUCUGGUUCUUCUUCCUGACACCAGUAUGAUUAUUCACUCAAGAUUUCUAAGUGCAUGCAAGAGAAAGGAAAAAGAUAUGAAACUGAAAAAUGCAGGAAGAAAUUGAUUGCUCCCCCAAAUUUUACAAAGGCCCUCACUUCCAAAGCUCUUCAGAAGAAGUUGAAUGUUAAAAGAAGAGGCAAAGAUGGGAAACACUCUUUACAGGGCUUGUAAAGAAAAAGAAAGGAGGUGACAUCAUCUCUAGAUUUGAUAAUCUUGAUUGUUUUUUUCAUGUUGGUGUAAGCAUAUUUGAAAAGCUUUUCUUAUUCUUCAUUAUUUUAGGGCCUUGAAUUUGAAACAAGGAAGUCAAGAGUUUUCAGGAAGUGGCUUUGAGCUUUCAAAAUAGCCUGGUAAUUUAGUUUGCUCUCUUUCUCCCUUCUGAUCACUUGAAGGGGGGAGAGAGAGAGAGAGAGAGAGAUAACAAAUUGUGCAUAAAAAACUCUCCCCUGCCUCUGAGAUUUAUUGCUUCAAAUAUAAAUUGAUCUUGUCAGCUAAAAUGGAGUAAAAAAACAAGUAAAUUGUUUUGAUAUACCAUGAAUUGUUAAAUUGGGAAUUAUGGGAGGCUGAAAAAUCCGUACCACCUUGUGAGUCCUCUUUUUUUUUUACACUGAACUUUCACAAGGGAGGAAUUGAGUGAAGGAGUUUCUCAAACCUUAUAAGGACUUCUAUUUCCCUCAUAUGUGAAAGAAAUGAAUUUAUGUCCUUGUUGUGUCCCCCUAGAAUGGGGGAGAGCUUUUUUAUUGCUCAUACAAUGACUAGAGAGUCCACUGAAUGAUUUAUAAGCAGAAAUUUCCCUAAUGUGACCAUAGUGCCUUCUACAUCUGAUCAUAUGUAAUUUUAUUUAAAAGCUAUAACUACACAACUGAUAAAACCUCAAAUGUUAUACUUUGGAAUGCUUACAUUGUGAAUAUUUGGAUUAUACCCUGAUGUUCUCAGAAUUAAUCUAAUUUCUAGGGAAAAGACCUUGAGUAAGACAGAGUACCUGACUAUUGUGAAGCAAUUUUUCCUUGAAGAAAAAAGAUCUGAAAGUAGACUCUGAUGAUUAGAAAUUGGGCUUGGAGUGAAAGUUUGUGAUUAGUAUAAAAUUUCAGAUUAUUGUGAUUACUGAUGAUUACAGAAUCAUUUGAUAAUGAUGGCAAUUAUUGAAUAUUUUGCUACACAAAGGCAUGGUAAAAAUUAUAAACAAAAUGACAAAUCCUACUUUUUGGAUUUGUGUAUGCUAAGUUUUCAGUUGCUGUAAGAUGUUAAUAUUGUGUGUUAAAGGCUUUCAUCCCUAGAAUUUGGAAUUUCUACCUCAAAUCCAAAGAGAAAGGAAAACCCAAACCGGCUAGGUGUCUCCUGAAAGAAAAUUCAAUCAGGCCUUGAGUUGACCACCUGUGAAGUGUUAGAACCUUUAACCUUAACCCUGAAGGUCCCACCUAGUUUAAAAUAGUUGCUCAUCCAAAACCUGCUAUCAUGCAAAUAAUCCUUUGAGAGUCAUUAAGACAUUUUGGUUCCUUGUCAGUGCUUUCCUAAGCAAGCAACAUUGCUCUUCUACAAACACAAAUAUUAAUUUUAAGUCAACAAGCAUCAUCUUUGUUUCUUUUUCUUCCUCCCUUCCUCUUUCUUCCUUUGUAAAAUUCUAGAAUCUUUGCUUUACUUCUGUGAUUGUUAAUUUUUUCCACUGAUGUUUACUUCUGAAUGUUUUCUGAAAGAGAUAUAGUAGAUUGUGUGAAAGAGAGGAGCAGCAAAAGCUUCAGGAAGCCAAGAGAGUGGCAGUUUCAGUUAGAUUGCCUGACCUUGAGGAGGUCCAAAAGAUAGAUUUGCAUGGAUGAUUUUUUUCCCCCAUAAGAAUCGACCCAUUUCUAAUUGUUGUACAUACCACAGAUAAGUGAUCCUUUACAACGAAAGAUACUGAGAUGAGGAAUAGAGUCCUGCUGUAGGUUGCCCUUGAUCCAGGCCAGUCUAGUGCUUCAAGUUCAAGUUCAGACCCUUCCAAUGGGUCACAAAUGGAGAUUUCCUUAGCUACAUCAUGGAAUCGGUUAAACACUACUUCUUUUCCUGUUUUGUCCAUUCUGGUACCAUGGUCAGAAACCUGAAGGGGUUCUAGCCUCCUGAUGGAUGAUUUUUAUAAUUAUACCAAAAUGAGUCUAUUUCAAUAACCUGAGCCUUAGGCCCCUGAACCAAUUGAGUCUCAAGAAUGGUUUCAGAUGGUUUCAGCCUGGUCUACAUGUCAGGUAUUAUUCCUACCAAAAAGUAUAUUAAAGGAAAACUUUAAGUGAACCUGAGUCCGUGAACUAGUAUUGAGGACACCAAAGUUCUAUACCAAUCCCAGUACUUUAUUUCCUAGCCCCUCCUUAGGACCUUGGCGUGGAGAAUCCUAAAGAAGAGACCCUUAGUAAAUGCUAGCUUGUUCACUUACCUUGGGCCAAAUUUAGAGGAUAAUUCAGAAAAGGUAAAGAGUUUGUUUGGAUGGACAAGACUCAUGUCCAUAUUAAUUGGUUGCUCUCCUUCAUACUCACUAAUUGUUUCUCUUUUGCUUUUAUUUCUUCAGUUGAUAUUUUAUUGUGCCGAAAAACAGAGGAGGGGAGAAUGGUGCUGUAAAGAAAGAGAGACUAUAUUUUUGUUCACUUGCCGUGACUGACUGGAUUUCAGAACUAGUUUCUAUUUCAAUUUGGAUCAAAUAAGCCACCAUGUUUGAUAGUGGUGUGUAAAAAUUCUGCAUUCUGUGCUAUUUAAUGAGGGUGAGGACCAGAGAGAUGGAGAAGGAAACUCAUUUGUAGAUUCUGGUAGGUUUGUAUCUUGGAGAGGCUCAGCUACAGAUGCAUCUCCCAAACCCAUGUAUCUUGAAAUACAUUUUUUCUUUUUUGGUUUGAUGUUCUAAUUGUUUUGUUUGGACUGUGUAUUUUUACUGUAACAUAUUUAAAUCUUUGAUUAUUCUUCCAAACUGUUCUGGAGGUUCUCAGAAUUGUUAUUUCAGGAGGUCUUAUAGAAUUUGUGCUCAUUUUCCCCAUGAAAGGGGGAUUUUGAAAAUUUUCUUUGAGGCAAUGUACUUCCCCACUGACAUCACUUUUUUUCAUCAAAUGCAUAUUUGUUUUCCCUUACAAUUAAUUAGCACUACACAUAUCUUAAUCAAUUAUGCUACUGAUUUUUUCUAUGUUAGCCCUCCUGAUGACAAGCUUUACUUCUUAUUAGACCACCAGGGCUGAAUAUGAUCUGUUUUCCUCAGUGGAUGAAUUAGGAUACAGUGCAAGGGAGACUCUAAUGGAACCCCUGCAGAAAUUUCUAUUUUUCUUUGCCAGUCCCAAUCUUUGUUGUUCCCUUGCCUUCUCUUUAACUUCUUUUUGUUAGUCAGAGCUCCUAUUAAAAGGUCCUGCCAGGACUCUGCUGAGA